rnacentral:rRNA from 1 species
UCAGAGCGAACGCUGGCGGCAGGCUUAACACAUGCAAGUCGAGCGGGCGUAGCAAUACGUCAGCGGCAGACGGGUGAGUAACGCGUGGGAACAUACCUUUUGGUUCGGAACAACACAGGGAAACUUGUGCUAAUACCGGAUAAGCCCUUACGGGGAAAGAUUUAUCGCCGAAAGAUUGGCCCGCGUCUGAUUAGCUAGUUGGUGAGGUAACGGCUCACCAAGGCGACGAUCAGUAGCUGGUCUGAGAGGAUGAUCAGCCACAUUGGGACUGAGACACGGCCCAAACUCCUACGGGAGGCAGCAGUGGGGAAUAUUGGACAAUGGGCGAAAGCCUGAUCCAGCCAUGCCGCGUGAGUGAUGAAGGCCCUAGGGUUGUAAAGCUCUUUUGUGCGGGAAGAUAAUGACGGUACCGCAAGAAUAAGCCCCGGCUAACUUCGUGCCAGCAGCCGCGGUAAUACGAAGGGGGCUAGCGUUGCUCGGAAUCACUGGGCGUAAAGGGUGCGUAGGCGGGUUUUUAAGUCAGAGGUGAAAUCCUGGAGCUCAACUCCAGAACUGCCUUUGAUACUGAGAAUCUUGAGUUCGGGAGAGGUGAGUGGAACUGCGAGUGUAGAGGUGAAAUUCGUAGAUAUUCGCAAGAACACCAGUGGCGAAGGCGGCUCACUGGCCCGAUACUGAC